rnacentral:rRNA from 1 species
UGGGGAAUAUUGGACAAUGGGCGCAAGCCUGAUCCAGCCAUGCCGCGUGAGUGACGAAGGUCUUCGGAUUGUAAAGCUCUUUUUGCCAGGGACGAUAAUGACGGUACCUGGAGAAUAAGCCCCGGCUAACUUCGUGCCAGCAGCCGCGGUAAUACGAAGGGGGCUAGCGUUGUUCGGAAUUACUGGGCGUAAAGCGCACGUAGGCGGAUUUGUUAGUCAGGGGUGAAAUCCCGGGGCUCAACCUCGGAACUGCCUUUGAUACUGCAAGUCUCGAGUCCGAUAGAGGUGAGUGGAAUUCCUAGUGUAGAGGUGAAAUUCGUAGAUAUUAGGAAGAACACCAGUGGCGAAGGCGGCUCACUGGUCCGGUACUGACGCUGAGGUGCGAAAGCGUGGGGAGCAAACAGGAUUAGAUACCCCUGUAGUCCCUGAGCGGGCUGGCAAGGCG